UAGAGAAAUCCCUUCCUUCUUUAGUCUGUACUCUUAUCACCAAUCUCCUUACCUUCUUCUCUUCUCUGUUCAUGGAUCCUUACAAGUUUCGUCCUACAAGUGCCUCCGAUUCCCCGUUCUGGUCUCAGGUAGGAAUCUCAUUCUUUUACCAUAAACAAUUUGGAAAGAUAAAGCCUUUUAGUGUUUAUUUGUCACCCUAGUUCUUUUCUGGCAUGAUGAGCAUGCAGUUGUUUAUCAUACCAAGUAAUCGUGCCCAUUGUAAUGCCAAGGAAGGAAACAAUGUAUAUGAUAAGUAGUAGUGCUUAAUAAUUUAAUAGUCUUUCGUGACUUAAGGCUGACAAAUCUUUGGGUCAAAAGCUUGCUUCUCGCCUCAAUGCCAGACCAAGCAUUUGAUUAAUGACUUCAAUCAAAUCCCAACAUCAGAUGGAGAAAAAAAAUGCUUCCUUGUGUGCGUAGAGGAAGUCGUAAAGCAUAUCAUCGUGCUGGUAUACUAAUUGUAUCGUUCUGAAUACUUGCAUUCUGCAAUGGAAUAAGAUCAUAAUGUAGCAAUUCUAUGACUAAAAACAUCUGUGCAACUAGAUGUGCUAAUAUUUUGUUGUAUAUGUAAAUUUUGAAGUAUUCAAAUACUCUA